AAUUUAUCCCUCAUACAUUGCUGGUGGGAGCUUACAAUGAUGCAGCUGCUUUGGAAAACAUUCUAGAAAUUCCUCAAAUAGUUAAACACAGAGUUACCAUAUGAUCCCAGAAAUUGCAGUCCUAGGUAUAUACCUAAGAAAAAUGAAAAUAUAUGUGCAAAGUUAGUACACAAAUGUUCAUAGCAACAUUAUUCAUAGUAGCCAAAGAGUGGAAACAACCCAAGUGCCCAUAUUAUUCAGUCAUAAAAAGUGAUAAAAGUAAUGAAGUGACAACAUAUGCUACGUGGAUGAACCUUGAAAACAUCAUACUAUGUUAAAGAAGCCAGUAACAAAGGGGCACAUAUUGUAUGUGACUGUUUCUGUGAAAUAGCCGUAAUAAGCAAAUUUGUAGAGAUAGGAAGCAUAUUAAUGUUGCUUAGGGCUGAUGGGAGGGGAUAAAGAAUGAACACUAAUUUUCUCUUUGUGGCAACAAAAAUACUUUCAAGUUAGAUUGUGGUGAGUUAUACAAUCUCAUGAAUAUACUAAAAGACAUUAAAUUGUACAUUUUGAAUAGGUGAAUGCAUGGUGUGUGAAUUAUAUCUCAAUACAACUGUUAAAAAUUAGUUCCGCAUAUUUAUGUGAGUUUAUUUCUGGAUUCUCUUUCGUUCCAUUGACCUGUGUGUAUAUCCCUUUGUCUAUGCUAGAUGAUCUUGAUUACAUGUCCAUUUUUACACUGUCUUGUACCAAUAGAGUAAGCAUUGAUAUUGGGGAGUUUCUCCCAUUUUAUUCUUUGUCAAAAUUAUUUCAGCUAUUUUAGAGCCUAUGCUUUUCCAUGUAAAUUUUAGAAAGAGCUUAUCUAUGUCUACAAAAGACCUCACUUUUAUUUCCUUCUACUUGGCUUGGAUUUAUUUUUACUCUUCUAGUUUCUUGAUGUAGGAACUCAGAAUAGUGACUUGAGACCUUUUAUUUAUUUAUUUAUUUAUUUAUUUAUUUAUUUAUUUUGAGAGAGAGAAUGCACAAGUGAGCGAGGGGUCAGAGAGACAGAGAGAGAAUCCCAUGAGGGGCAGAGAGAGAGAGAGAGAGAGAGAGAGAGAGAGAGGCAGGGCUCACCUGGGUUUGUGUUUUAUCCUAAGCGGGACCUGAGCUCACCUGAAGCAGGGUUCAAGCUCACCUGAUGUGGGACUCAAACUUACCAACCAUGAGAUCAUGACCUAAGCUGGAGUUAGAUGCUUAAUGACUAAGCCACCCUGGUGCCCAAGACCUUUUCUUAUUUUUUUUUUUAAUUUUUUACAUUUAUUUAUUUUUUGAGAGACAUAGAGAGACAGAGCACAAGUUGGGCAGGGACAGAGAGAGAAGGAGACACAGAACAGAAGCAGGCUCCAGGCUCCAAGCUGUCAGCACAGAGCCCGACGCGGGGCUCGAACUCACAAACCGUGAGAUCAUGACCUGAGCCGAAGUCGGACGCUUAACCGACUGAGCCACCCAGGCGCCCCAACCUUUUCUUAUUUCUAAUGUAAGCAUUUAGUGCUAUAAAGUUCCCUCUUGAUACUGCCUUGACUGCACCAAACAUAUUUUGUUAGGUUAUUGUAAAGACAACUUAUAUUCUUCCUCCUGUGUUUCUCCUUUACUGCUCAAACAGAACAUCUCAGUAUGCUUCUGACAGCAGAUUAUGUGAGGGACCUUUCUUCCCCCACAUCAAGCAAUUCUGCAACACCAGAUGGGUGUCCUACAAUUUAACUCCAUUCUGACACCAUCUACCUAAAGAUAGUAUCAGAUCCCAGAUUCAAGGCUCAGUCCCCUAAGACUACCCCUCCCCCGCCAUGCCAAUCACAAGUCCCGGUUGUUACUCGUGCUUCUGACCAAUGAGCUAUAAAUUAGAGGUUCCCAUGACCCCCUCUGCAAAUCUGCUUAAUCUGCUAGAAUGGCUGACAAAAGUCAGGAGAAGUUUACUUCCCAUUCCCUUUUAUUAUAAAAAGAUACGACGAAGGAUACAGAUAAACGUCCAGAUGAAGGGAUGCUAAGGGCACAGUAUACAGAAAAGGCCCUCUUACUGGUUCAUAGACAGACAUCUCACUGUGCCCUCACAUGGUAGAAGAGACAAGGAAACUUUCUGGGGCCUCUGUUAUAAGGGCACUAAUCCCACUCAUGAGGGCUCCACCUUCAUGACUUUAUCAUCUCCCAAAGGUCCCUCCUAAUACAAUCACACUGGGGAUUAUCUUUUAACACGUGAAUUUUAAGGGACAUAAACAUUCAAUCUAUACUACUGAGCAAAUAAAUUCUGUUCACCAGGAGAGAAAAACUAUAUGGAAAAUAGACUCAGUGGGCUUUGGUAUCUGAUUAGGUGGGGAGAGGUCAAGGAUAACACUUACAUUUCUAGUAUGAAAAAGUCGUGCUUCCAGGUGGUUUAGCUGCGCAACUUCAUCAUAAGUCUGGUUAAAAAUACACACAGUUCAGGGCACCUGGGUGGCUCAGUCGGUUAAACAUCUGACUCUUGGUUUUGGCUCAGGUCAUGAUCUCAUGGUUCAUGAGAUCAAGCUCCAAGUUGGGCUUGAGCUGACAGUGUGGAGCCUUCUUGAGAUUCUCUCUUUCCUCUCUCUGCCCCUCCCCCCUCAAAAUAAAUAAAGAUUAAAAAAAUACACAGUUCUCUGAAAUAAGGUCACACAAUCCUAGAGUGAAUAGACUUAGACACAAAGAUAAUAACAAAACCUAUGAAGACAGUAGCCAAAGAUGAAUAGAGAUCUAGGUAAAAUAAUUGAAAAUUUGAAAAAAACUAAAACACCCCUUAAAUAAUUAGAGGGUUCAAGUAUAUAUUAUCUAUAAAACUUUCUUUACAAAUAUGUAUUUGAAAUAUUAAAAUACCAAAAUACUGAAAAUAUAUUUGAGUUUUCUUCUGGUUAGUAGGCAAUCUUAAAACCAGAAAAACAGUAUAGAGAAAUGUCAGUAGUAACAGCAGAACACAGGGUUAAUCCUGGACAAUUGCCAUUAAUGAAAAAUAAAAACAACAAACACACUCACAGUUUUGUUUCCUUCAUUGUAUAGUUUGUAUGUCAGAGUUACGGGUGGUGCCUAAAGUCAUGGUCAUGCAAGGAGUAAGAAGCUAAGAUAGGGUUAGAAUCCACAUUGUUGUUCUUUGCCUGCAAGAGGCUUGGCCAUAUGGGACAGGGCCUCCCCAUAGUUGAUCCCAUUCAUGUGAUAACUGGUGGUCCCUUUGUGAAGAGAAGGAAUGUGGCAAAGGCAUCAAUCUAGCUGGGUUUAGAGGAGAGGGGAGCUGGAGUUUUUCAGCAUGUGCUUUGGUUCAAGAGACUUUACAGGGAGAGUGACAAUCUCUCGGGAAGUGGUUGGCAUGGCAACUGUGGAUUUGAUAGAAUGGGGAGGCAUCAAGACGUUCAUGUAGGGGCACCUGUGUGGCUCAGUCAAUUGAACAUCUGACUCUUGAUUUCAACUCAGGUCAUGAUCCCAGGGUUGUGGGAUUGAGCGCUACAUUGGGCUCCAUGCUAGGUGUGGAGCCUGCUUGAGAUUCUCUCUCUCUCUCUCUCUCUCUCUCUCUCUCUCCUCUCUCUCUUCCCCUCUUCCCAGCUCUCUCUGAAAAAAAAAUUAUAUAUAUAUAUAUAUAUAGAGAGAGAGAGAGAGAGACAGACAGACAGACAGACAUUCAUGUGCUCUUAAGAUGAAAAAAUUGUGGUAUCAAACCUCCAAGAUGGUCCUCAAAGAUCCUUGCCUCCUAGAAUUCACACCAGUGUGUAGUCUCCAUCCACACUGACUCAGUCUGGUCUAUGCGACCAACAGAGUAUGGCGGCAUGUGACUUCUGUGACAGCCUGUAAGAGGCUUGGCCAUAAAAGACAUUGUAGCUUCUGGAUCACUUAUUCUAGGGGAAACCAGCCACCAUGUCAAAAAGACAAUCAGCCAGGGGCACCUGGGUGGCUCAGUUGCUUGAGUGUCUGACUCUUGGUUUUGGCUCAGGACAUGAUCCCAGGGUCAUGAGAUCGAGCCCUGCGUCAGGCUCCAUGUUGAGUAUACAGCUUGCUUGAGAUACUCUCUCUCUCUCUCUCCCUCUGCCCCCUCCCCUGCUUGGGCUCUCUCUCUCUCAAACAAACAAACUAAAUAACAAACAAUCAGCCAUAUGGAGAGGCCUACAUGGAAUGGAACGGGGCCUAUUGUCAAAAGCCAGCGCCAAUUUGCCAGCCAUGUGAAUGGAGCACCUGGAAGCAGAGAUUCUGGCCCCAUUUAAGCCUUCAAAUGACAUCUUGCUUACACGCAGCUAAACUGCUCCUGAAACCCUGACUCACAGACACUGUGAGAGAUGAUCCCAGCCCUGUUUCCAUGAGGGCUUGUGACCUCUGCGGUAUCAUGAAGCAAAUGUCUGUCUCCGAAUAUGCAUUCUCCAAGGUUUCACCGUAUUGGCUCAUCCACAAUUCAGAGGGCGGAGGUAGCAUGGCCUCGCCCACAGGUACGUAGGUCUUGUUUGGUGGAAAUACCAACUCCACUCCUCUUCCACACUUUGCCCCCACGAAUUCCAGUCACUUCAUUUCCCCAAAACUGUUGUUUGUGUCAACUUAGCAAAUCGGUGCUCUGCCUUGGUUCCUCCUCUCUGCUCUGUGGUGUGUAGUGUGUCUUCCAAGGGAAAGCCACUGCGAUGAUAGAAUCUCACUUAUUUCCCUUCUCUCAGGGUUCAAAGUCUUGCACUACUUGCUGUCCAACAUCUGAAAAGACUUGUUUCCUACACAUUAUCUAGCUUCUUGUUUAGAAUGCAAUGGCAGGUGUAGCACAAUUACACUAUCAUAGUUCAAAGCAGACAAUCCUCCCUGCUUUUUGAGCAUUUCCCUAUGUUUUUUGGCACAAGAAGAUAUCCUAUACUCAUUGUGUACGUUCCCUGCCCCAGUCCUGAGAUCAGAUACUUCUCCAGGAAGCUUUGGUUUCUUUUUUUUAGAGAAUGAUAUUUAGAAACCAAGGUCUGGGCAUUAGGUUUAUGCUCAUUGCUACAGGGCAUCAUUGCUUCCAGGCCCAUUCACCAAAUAGAAAAUACACAAACACAUUUUUUUUUCC